GAACGCUAGCUACAGGCUUAACACAUGCAAGUCGAGGGGAAACGAUAUUGGAAGCUUGCUUCUGAUAGGCGUCGACCGGCGCACGGGUGAGUAACGCGUAUCCAACCUGCCCAUCACUUGGGGAUAACCUUGCGAAAGUAAGACUAAUACCCAAUGACGUCUCUAGAAGACAUCUGAAAGAGAUUAAAGAUUUAUCGGUGAUGGAUGGGGAUGCGUCUGAUUAGCUUGUUGGCGGGUAACGGCCCACCAAGGCGACGAUCAGUAGGGGUUCUGAGAGGAAGGUCCCCCACAUUGGAACUGAGACACGGUCCAAACUCCUACGGGAGGCAGCAGUGAGGAAUAUUGGUCAAUGGACGAGAGUCUGAACCAGCCAAGUAGCGUGCAGGAAGACGGCCCUAUGGGUUGUAAACUGCUUUUAUAAGGGAAUAAAGUGAGUCUCGUGAGACUUUUUGCAUGUACCUUAUGAAUAAGGACCGGCUAAUUCCGUG
rnacentral:rRNA from 1 species